UACGUAGGAUCCAAGCGUUGUCCGGAUUUACUGGGUGUAAAGGGUGCGCAGGCGGACUUAUAAGUCAGAGGUGAAGUCUUACUGCUCAACAGUGAAACUGCCUUUGAUACUGUAGGUCUUGAAUUAGGGAGAGAUUCGUGGAAUUCCGAGUGUAGCAGUGAAAUGUGUAGAUAUUCGGAAGAACACCAGUGGCGAAGGCAGCGAAUUGGCCCUAUAUUGACGCUCAGGCACGAAAGCAUGGGGAUCAAACAGG
rnacentral:rRNA from 1 species